GGCAAGAUGGCCGAGCGGUCUAAGGUAUAUUCUUCUUCAGCAUACUAACUAAUCCCUCAGUGGGUUCGAAUCCCACUCUUGUCA
rnacentral:tRNA from 1 species